rnacentral:tRNA from 1 species
GCGGACGUGGCGGAAUUGGUAUACGCGCUGGUCUUAGGAACCAGUGGGGCAACCCAUGAGAGUUCAAGUCUCUCCGUCCGCA